rnacentral:rRNA from 1 species
UGAGUAACACGUAUGCAAUCCACCUGUAACAGGGGGAUAACCCGGAGAAAUCCGGACUAAUACCCCAUAAUAUGGGCGCUCCGCAUGGAGAGUCCAUUAAAGAGAGCAAUCUUGUUACAGACGAGCAUGCGCUCCAUUAGCCAGUUGGCGGGGUAACGGCCCACCAAGGCGACGAUGGAUAGGGGUUCUGAGAGGAAGGUCCCCCACAUUGGAACUGAGACACGGUCCAA